rnacentral:rRNA from 1 species
GAUGAACGCUGGCGGCGUGCUUAACACAUGCAAGUCGAGCGAAGAGACUCGGCGCUUGCUGCUCUGACGUUUGCGGCGGAGGUGUGUAUAACACGUGUAUAAUCCACCUUUAUUACUGGGAUCACCUGGGAACACGGGCUCUAAUACCGUAUUAUCUAUUCAACCCAUUGGUUCAGUAGUAAAAGACGGUUUUGCUGGCACUUAUACAUGGGUCCUCGCCGCAUUGGCUAGUUGGUAUGGCAACGGAUUACCAAGGCAACGAUGCGUAGCCGACCUGAGAGCGUGAGCGGCCACACGGGAACUGAGAGACGGUCCAGAGUCCUAGGGGAGGCAGCAGGAGAGAAUCGGCCGCAAUGGGCGAAAGGCUGACGGAGCAACGCCGCGUGAGUGAGGAAGGUCUGCGGAUCUUAGAACUGUGUUAUUAGUGAGGAAAAGAUGAGGAAGUAACUAUGCACGUGGUGACGGUACUUGGUAAGAAAGCGACGGCUAACUACGUG